rnacentral:tRNA from 1 species
AUUUAUGUAGUUUAAAGAAAACCUUACAUUUUCAUUGUAAAAUUAGAUGUAUAUCUUAUAAAUA